UGAGGAAUAUUGCUCAAUGGCCGCAAGGCUGAAGCAGCAACGCCGCGUGAGGGAUGAAGGAUCUAUGGUCUGUAAACCUCUGUAGAGAAGGAAAAAUAACCCAUUAUAUGGGCUUGAUAGUACUUCUAGAGUAAGCCCCGGCUAACUACGUGCCAGCAGCCGCGGUAAUACGUAGGGGGCGAGCGUUGUCCGGAAUCACUGGGUGUAAAGGGUGCUCAUGCGGGUCGAUAAGUCAUAGGUGAAAUUUCACAGCUUAACUGUGAAUGUGCUAUUGAUACUGUCGGUAUAGAGUUCAGAAUAGGACAAUGGAAUUCUUGGUGUAGCGGUAAAAUGCAUAGAUAUCAAGAAGAACACCAGUUGCGAAGGCGGUUGCCUGGUCUGUAACUGACGCUCAAGCACGAAAGCGUAGGGAUCAAACA
rnacentral:rRNA from 1 species